rnacentral:rRNA from 1 species
CCUACGGGUGGCAGCAGUGGGGAAUAUUGCACAAUGGGGGAAACCCUGAAGCAGCAAAGCCGCGUGGAGGAUGAAGGUUUUAGGAGUGUAAACUCCUUUUGUUAGGGAAGAAAAUGACGGUAUCUAACGAAUAAGCACCGGCUAACUCCGUGCAAGCAGCCGCGGUAAUACGGAGGGUGCAAGCGUUACUCGGAAUCACUGGGCGUAAAGGGCGCGUAGGCGGGAUAGCAAGUCAGAUGUGAAAUCCUAUGGCUUAACCAUAGAACUGCAGUUGAAACUGUUAUUCUAGAGUAUGGGAGAGGUAGGUGGAAUUCUUGGUGUAGCGGUGAAAUCCGUAGAGAUCAAGAGGAAUACUCAUUGCGAAGGCGACCUGCUAGAACAUAACUGACGCUGAUGCGCGAAAGCGUGGGGAGCAAACAGGAUUAGAUACCCUUGUAGUC